rnacentral:lncRNA from 1 species
ACAGGAACAGGAUACACAUGACGGGAGCAAGCGAAUCCGACGGAUACAGACAGUGGCGGAGUUAGAACAAAUUUGAGAGGGUGCAUUAUGUCUGUGGGUGCAUAUGAUUUUAUUGCAGGGGUGCAUAUAUGGUGAAAAUUUGAUCAUAAUCACUGUUUUUUCAUAUUUUCGUGGAUACGGCCGCACCCAAUGCCAACUACAUAGCUCCGCCCCUGGAUACAGAGUCCGUUGCGCGCAGCACAGGGGAACUUCUCAUGUGUUCACUUGAGCUUACUUAGCGAAUCUAGCAACCAUCUAGCUGUGUUUUUCUCUUACAAUAAAUCAACAAAUAAUACUUGAUUUUUCAGCCAAAUGAAAUGGGUGUCGUCUUGAACGCAUGCCUCCACCCAAUCGUCAUUAACAUAGUCCAUAUGACAACUACGUACUGUAGAUUAGUAGUAGAAAGCGAAAAAGGAGCAAAGCUUGGCAUGAUAUGAUGCCGUCUCUCUCGAGCCACGCAAGGAUGGAACUGUGAGCAUGAACAACUCUACGUACGGUCCCCUCUUCUGGCCAAUAUAUAUGGCACGGAAAACCCUACUAUCCAUUGCUGCUACAAGCAACCUAUAGUAGGAGUAUAGAAGCUGGAGUAGUUGUACAUGCAGAUCCGGAGGGAGGGACGAGCCAAACAAAAUCAAGCGGCCGGGAAUUAAGGGAAAGGACGUCGUUAACCUCUGUGGUGCAGUGCAGACAUCAUCGUCCUGACUGGACCACCUGCCUCUGGCUGACAUGAGAUGUGAUUCCCCCCUCCCAUCAAAAAAAAAAAACAAGAAGAUUAAUUGACAGAUGAUUAGCACAUGCGUUGAGCAUGGGACUAGGAGUAGUUUACAAUUGCAUGCUGGGUCUAAAAUCUAAACCUAAUCAAAGGUACUACUGGAGUGUACACGUACUCUAGCUAGCUAGCUAGCAGGCAGGCAGGCAGGCAGGCAUAUGCGCGUGUGAACUGUGAUGAUGAUGUAGUAGCUGCAAGUCUCGAGGCAGGCAACGGAUGCGUGCCCGCGCCUCCACUUGCAUUGCAUUGCUGUGAGUGUGACCUCGCCUACGCAAGCGGAUUGGUUUGGUCAGGCAAGUUGGCUCAAAUGGUCAUUGGAGACGAACAAUUGGAAGUGUGCAUGCCACAGCCCACUGGACCCUAAAUUAUUUGGACACCUUGCCGGCCGGGCUCGCAAGUGAUUCCUUCUUAUCUAGUACUCCUACGCCGUUGAUGCUUGUUUUACUCUCUGCCGACCCAUCAAUCGUUUCAUUCAUUCAUUCAUCUGUGCAGAGUACUACAUACCCACCGGCCACCGUACGUAACCUAUCUCAUAUCCCCUCUCGUACCUGGAAGAUGCAUGCUUCUCACGAUCGAGGACGAGGAGGCACAGAGGCCAGAGGUCGUUACGGAACGUGUUCGUACCCAGUCCCACCCCUAGGGGCCGCACAAGUCUGCAGAUCGACUUUCUCUCGCGGUCCGGGGCGGCGCAGCGCAUCAGGUCGAUCGAUCUGAUUGAGUAGAAGAACCACUGCACGUACGCACGAGAGGGCGGUAUCUCGAGAGAUCGAGACAGUGAGUCGACUGAGACGAUCAUCCACAUGGCGGCGGCGUUACGAUUACGACAGCUGCUAGCUGCUAGCUGCGGCUCCCGCGCCCCAGCAGCAUGCUGCUGCCUCUGCUCCUCCUGCAGCCCUCACCGCCGGCUCCCGGCGGACCUUGCUCACCGGUGGCGGCAUCGACUGGGCGGCAUAGCAGCCGCCGCCGACGCUGCCCCCGCUCGUCACCAGCAGGUGCCUCUAUCGCCGAUCUAUGGGAUGUACCACUAUCGUCAUUCGUCAAGAUAAGUUUAGUACACGUACGAGUAUUUAUUUGUAGUAUAUAAUAGGGCUCUCUUUGCCACCUACACAAUUACUUUAAUUUAAGUGCACAGCAUCUCCAAUAAUUCCCAAGAUAUUAUAGUUGGUAAACUAUUUCUAAAAAUUAUCCCAACCAACAUUUAUAAUUUAUUUCUCUCUUAUACAUUUGGAUCAUGAACUCUGCAUUACUAUUUAUUCUUUCCUCAUUCUUGCACCUCCAUGUUAGCACCUCCAUACGUGUGCACAUAUUUUCACACUAUUGGAUCAAUUUUUUUUUUAAUUGCACGGAGAUGGAGAGUUAUAGGAAGUUGUUGGAGAGCAAUUUUCUUUCAAUCUUACUAGAAAAUCUAGAGUGGAAGUGGGUUUUGAAAACUCUUAGAGAUAUGCAACUUGAAACAUUUUAGCGCGUAAAUAUAUUACUAUUCUUUUGUAUAGAAUAUAAAAGUAGUCAAAUUUUAGAGAGUUUGAUUUAGCGUAGA